rnacentral:rRNA from 1 species
UACGGAAGGCAGCAGGGGGAAUAUUGCACAAUGGGCGCAAGCCUGAUGCAGCCAUGCCGCGUGUAUGAAGAAGGCCUUCGGGUUGUAAAGUACUUUCAGUCGUGAGGAAGGUGUUAAGGUUAAUAACCUUAGCAAUUGACGUUAGCGACAGAAGAAGCACCGGCUAACUCCGUGCCAGCAGCCGCGGUAAUACGGAGGGUGCGAGCGUUAAUCGGAAUUACUGGGCGUAAAGGGCACGCAGGCGGUUAAUUAAGUUGGAUGUGAAAUCCCCGGGCUUAACCUGGGAAUGGCAUUCAAGACUGGUUAGCUAGAGUCUUGUAGAGGGGGUAGAAUUCCAUGUGUAGCGGUGAAAUGCGUAGAGAUGUGGAGGAAUACCGGUGGCGAAGGCGGCCCCUGGGACAAAGGACUGACGCUCAUGUGCGAAAGCGUGGGGAGCGAAACAGGGAUUAGAUACC